AUACGGAGGAUCCGAGCGUUAUCCGGAUUUAUUGGGUUUAAAGGGAGCGUAGAUGGAUGUUUAAGUCAGUUGUGAAAGUUUGCGGCUCAACCGUAAAAUUGCAGUUGAUACUGGAUAUCUUGAGUGCAGUUGAGGCAGGCGGAAUUCGUGGUGUAGCGGUGAAAUGCUUAGAUAUCACGAAGAACUCCGAUUGCGAAGGCAGCCUGCUAAGCUGCAACUGACAUUGAGGCUCGAAAGUGUGGGUAUCAAACAGGAUUAGAUACCCUGGUAGUCCACACGGUAAACGAUGAAUACUCGCUGUUUGCGAUAUACAGCAAGCGGCCAAGCGAAAGCGUUAAGUAUUCCACCUGGGGAGUACGCCGGCAACGGUGAAACUCAAAGGAAUUGACGGGG
rnacentral:rRNA from 1 species